ensembl:misc_RNA 7SK 7SK RNA
GGACAUGAGGGCAAUCUGGUAGUGACAUCUGUCACCCCAUUAAUCACCAGGGUGGAUUCGACGGAUCUGGCUGGCUAAGCGGGUGUCCCCUCCCUCCCUCACCACUCCACGUCCAUCCCUCCUGGAGCCGCAUACUCGGUUGAAGGGGACCACCUUCCCUGGUAGAGGAGGACUGGUCUUGGGUCAAGGGUAUACGAGUAGCUGCGCUCCCCUGCUAGAACCUCCGAACAAGCUCUUAAGAGUGACAGGUAGAGGGAAGGAGGAGGGAAAGUGAUGAGGACAUGCACCCCCCCCCAGGAGAGGCCCUCUGCUCUUUCAG